ensembl:snRNA U6 U6 spliceosomal RNA
GUCCUCACUUCGGCAGCACAUAUACUAAAAUUGGAACAAUACAGAGAAGAUUAUCCUGGCCCCUACACAAGGAUGACACAAAAAUGUAUGAAGUGUUCCAUAAUAUU